AGCUUAAGCAGAGUUCUCUUUUCCCAGCUCAGCAGCUGAAGAGCUAAAGCAAUAACAGGUACCUAUAUUUAAUUCUACCAACAAGCAAAACAAUAGCCUGGAGAAGGAUGUUUUUGAUUAGGAAAAUGGAUGGUGCGAAAUGGAUGGCCCUUAAGCACAAAAAAUUCUUCUAAUGGCUGGUUCCAUCCAGAAUUCUGGGAUUAUGGACAGUCUACAUACAAUGGCUUUGAGUCAUAAGGUGAUACUCAAAUCAGAAGAUGAAAUCCACUGAAUUUCAAAAGGACCAGAAGGUACAUUAUCAGAGCUGGGUUUAUCUGGCUUCCAGAAGGGGGCAAUGAUGCCUGAGUAGAUUAAAAGUUAAAAGGAACUUCCUCUUCCACCAUAAACCUAUUGUUUCCUGAGACAAAUCUAGAUUUUAAAGUAAGGAUGUUCUUUGGGAGAUUACCUAUGCUUCUGCAGUUUUUCCAAAUAGCAAAUCAAUC